rnacentral:rRNA from 1 species
UGCUAUCACUUAUAGAUGGACCCGCGCCGUAUUAGCUAGUUGGUAAGGUAWCGGCUUACCAAGGCGACGAUACGUAGCCGACCUGAGAGGGUGAUCGGCCACRCUGGAACUGAGACACGGUCCAGACUCCUACGGGAGGCAGCAGUAGGGAAUCUUCCGCAAUGGGCGAAAGCCUGACGGAGCAACGCCGCGUGAGUGAUGAAGGUCUUCGGAUCGUAAAACUCUGUUAUUAGGGAAGAACAUACGUGUAAGUAACUAUGCACGUCUUGACGGUACCUAAUCAGAAAGCCACGGCUAACUACGUGCCAGCAGCCGCGGUAAUACGUAGGUGGCAAGCGUUAUCCGGAAUUAUUGGGCGUAAAGCGCGCGUAGGCGGUUUUUUAAGUCUGAUGUGAAAGCCCACGGCUCAACCGUGGAGGGUCAUUGGAAACUGKAAAACUUGAGUGCAGAAGAGGAAAGUGGAAUUCCAUGUGUAGCGGUGAAAUGCGCAGAGAUAUGGAGGAACACCAGUGGCGAAGGCGACUUUCUGGUCUGUAACUGACGCUGAUGUGCGAAAGCGUGGGGAUCAAACAGGAUUAGAUACCCUGGUAGUCC